UACGUAGGGUGCAAGCGUUAAUCGGAAUUACUGGGCGUAAAGCGUGCGCAGGCGGUGAUGUAAGACAGUUGUGAAAUCCCCGGGCUCAACCUGGGAACUGCAUCUGUGACUGCAUCGCUGGAGUGCGGCAGAGGGGGAUGGAAUUCCGCGUGUAGUGGUGAAAUGCGUAGAGAUGCGGAGGAACACCAGUGGCGAAAGCGACUUCUGGUCCUUAACUGACGCUGAGGCGCGAAAGCAUGGGGAGCGAACGGG
rnacentral:rRNA from 1 species